GUCCAGUCGGGGACAUCUGAUAAAAUUAGAACGAUACAGAAUAAAUUAACAUGAUCCAUGGGAAAGUAUGACACACAAAUCGAAAAAUUGUCCAAAAGAUAA